rnacentral:rRNA from 1 species
ACUCCUGCGGGAGGCAGCAGUGGGGAAUUUUGGACAAUGGGCGAAAGCCUGAUCCAGCCAUGCCGCGUGCAGGAUGAAGGCCUUCGGGUUGUAAACUGCUUUUGUACGGAACGAAACGGCCUUUUCUAAUAAAGAGGGCUAAUGACGGUACCGUAAGAAUAAGCACCGGCUAACUACGUGCCAGCAGCCGCGGUAAUACGUAGGGUGCAAGCGUUAAUCGGAAUUACUGGGCGUAAAGCGUGCGCAGGCGGUUAUGUAAGACAGUUGUGAAAUCCCCGGGCUCAACCUGGGAACUGCAUCUGUGACUGCAUAGCUAGAGUACGGUAGAGGGGGAUGGAAUUCCGCGUGUAGCAGUGAAAUGCGUAGAUAUGCGGAGGAACACCGAUGGCGAAGGCAAUCCCCUGGACCUGUACUGACGCUCAUGCACGAAAGCGUGGGGAGCAAACAGGAUUAGAAACCCGGGUAGUCC